GGGCGAAUGGUUUAGUGGUAUAAUACUCCCUUAGCAUGGUUUCUGAGUCUGGGAGUGGUCCAGGGUUCGAUUCCCUGUUCGUCCA
rnacentral:tRNA from 1 species